rnacentral:rRNA from 1 species
GACAGAGGGUGCAAACGUUGUUCGGAAUUACUGGGCGUAAAGCGUGUGUAGGCGGUCCACUAAGUCGGAUGUGAAAGCCCUGGGCUCAACCCAGGAAGUGCACUCGAAACUGGCGGGCUAGAGUAUCGGAGAGGUUGGUGGAAUUCUCGGUGUAGAGGUGAAAUUCGUAGAUAUCGAGAGGAACACCGGUGGCGAAGGCGGCCAACUGGACGAAUACUGACGCUGAGACACGAAAGCGUGGGGAGCAAACAGG